UACGUAGGGUGCAAGCGUUAAUCGGAAUUACUGGGCGUAAAGCGUGCGCAGGCGGUUCGGAAAGAAGGAUGUGAAAUCCCAGGGCUCAACCUUGGAACUGCAUUCUUAACUACCGAACUAGAGUAUGUCAGAGGGGGGUAGAAUUCCGCGUGUAGCAGUGAAAUGCGUAGAUAUGCGGAGGAAUACCGAUGGCGAAGGCAGCCCCCUGGGAUAAUACUGACGCUCAUGCACGAAAGCGUGGGUAGCAAAC
rnacentral:rRNA from 1 species